UGGGGAAUAUUGCACAAUGGGCGCAAGCCUGAUGCAGCCAUGCCGCGUGUGUGAAGAAGGCCUUCGGGUUGUAAAGCACUUUCAGCGAGGAGGGAAGGUGGUGAACUUAAUACGUUCAUCAAUUGACGUUACUCGCAGAAGAAGCACCGGCUAACUCCAUGCCAGCAGCCGCGGUAAUACGGGAGGGUGCAAGCGUUAAUCGGAAUUACUGGGCGUAAAGCGCACGCAGGCGGUUUGUUAAGUCAGAUGUGAAAUCCCCGGGCUCAACCUGGGAACUGCAUUUGAAACUGGCAAGCUAGGAGUCUCGUAGAGGGGGGCAGAAUUCCAGGUGUAGCGGUGAAAUGCGUAGAGAUCUGGAGGAAUACCGGUGGCGAAGGCGGCCCCCUGGACGAAGACUGACGCUCAGGUGCGAAAGCGUGGGGAGCAAACAGGAUUAGAUA
rnacentral:rRNA from 1 species